rnacentral:snRNA from 1 species
ACACUUUCUAUCUGGUCACUCUAGGAGGAACUAAGAGCUAAGAUCAAAGUAUAGUGUCUGUUCUUAUCAGUUUAAUAUCUAAUAUGUCCUUUAUUUGAGGACUGUAUAUUAAAUUGAUUUUUGAAACAGGGGGAUGGAAUAGGAGCUUGCUCUGUCCACCCCAUGCAUUGACCUGGUAUUGCAGUGUCUCCAGGACCAGGGAAAAAACC